rnacentral:rRNA from 1 species
UGGGGAAUAUUGGACAAUGGGGGGAACCCUGAUCCAGCCAUGCCGCGUGUGUGAAGAAGGCCUUAUGGUUGUAAAGCACUUUAAGCGAGGAGGAGGGUACUGGUAUUAAUACUACCAGGUACUGGACGUUACUCGCAGAAUAAGCACCGGCUAACUCUGUGCCAGCAGCCGCGGUAAUACAGAGGGUGCGAGCGUUAAUCGGAUUUACUGGGCGUAAAGCAUGCGUAGGCGGCUAAUUGAGUCGGAUGUGAAAUCCCCGAGCUUAACUUGGGAAUUGCAUUCGAUACUGGUUAGCUAGAGUGUGGGAGAGGAUGGUAGAAUUCCAGGUGUAGCGGUGAAAUGCGUAGAGAUCUGGAGGAAUACCGAUGGCGAAGGCAGCCAUCUGGCCUAACACUGACGCUGAGGUACGAAAGCAUGGGGAGCAAACAGG